AGCGAACGCUGGCGGCAGGCUUAACACAUGCAAGUCGAGCGCCCCGCCAGGGGAGCGGCCGACGGGUGAGUAACACGUGGGAACGUACCCUUUGGUUCGGAACAACCCAGGGAAACUUGGGCUAAUACCGGAUAAGUCCGCGAGGAGAAAGAUUUAUCGCCGAAGGAUCGGCCCGCGUCUGAUUAGCUAGUUGGUGUGGUAACGGCGCACCAAGGCGACGAUCAGUAGCUGGUCUGAGAGGAUGAUCAGCCACACUGGGACUGAGACACGGCCCAGACUCCUACGGGAGGCAGCAGUGGGGAAUAUUGGACAAUGGGGGCAACCCUGAUCCAGCCAUGCCGCGUGAGUGAUGAAGGCCCUAGGGUUGUAAAGCUCUUUCGGUGGGGAAGAUAAUGACGGUACCCACAGAAGAAGCCCCGGCUAACUUCGUG
rnacentral:rRNA from 1 species